UUUCUCUAAUGUUUUGGAUAUCUACCUCUCCCAUUGUUGUAUGGCAAUUCUGAUGCUCAUGAUUUACUGUUUUGGGUACUGGGUUUUGCUUGUAGAUGACUAAAGUGGGUUUUAUUUAUUCACUCUGAUUGAUGUUGAUUUCUGAGUUCUUGGCGCUUUACUUUAUUGUUCUGUCAGGAUUUCCUUUCUAAAGUUCACUUUUGUUUUGAUUUUGACCAAAUAUCUGGAAAUGGGGUUUCAUUUUCAACAAAUAUGUUAGCCAUCUUAUGAGAAAAGAAUGGGGCUUUUGUCUUUUAUCGUUUUGGAAAUUCUUAAUUCGUUUUCCAUUUGUGAUCUCCAGUUUGUGCAUGUCUAUAUCAAGGUUGUUAUAUUCCUUUAUCAUUUUUAUUUUUGCCAUCUCCAGUUAGUGUAUAAAUGUAUUAUUAAGAUAGUGUUGGUGUCUGAAUCUAAUUUGAGGAAUAUUAGAUGAGUUGCAAAGUGAAUGUGAAUGUUAAAUUGGUAAUGGUAAUCAAGUCACUGACAGUUCAUGAAUUGCUGAGAUGGUCAUGUUUUAAUCGUGUGAAAAGUAGAAAGAUCACUUUGAUUUGCAUCGUAGAGUUAAUACUUAUAUCGUAUGGUUUUAUUAUUAGACUAGGAGUGUAUUGGAAUUACCAUGUAGGCAGGUUUCUUACACUUGCAUGUAUGCAGGGAGAAGUCAAGAUUGGGAUAGUGUACUGCUAGGAUAAUUACAUCAUGUUGAAGAAGGCACCAAGUAGGAAUCACCGAACCAAAGGAAUCAAGUUGAAGCAUAUUUUGCAGAUCGCCCUGCUUCUCGGGGUUUGCUUUUGGUUGGUUUAUCAGCUCAAGCAUUCCCAUGAUAAGAAAGUGGUGUUGGAUGAGAAAUCUGCAAAAGCCUCAAUCAGAUCCCUGAGUGAAGGUGAGCUUCUGAAACUUGGGAGGAAAGAUCUUCCUCACAAGGACGUCGGUAAAAAUGUGAAACAAGAGGUAGAGGGGGAGGACGAAACUGUAGGAGACGAAGAAGAGAAGCAUGAGGUAGAAGGGCUAGAGGAAGAAGGUCAAAAACAUGAAGCAGAUGAGCGAGAAGAUGAGGAUCGGAAGGAAGAACAAGAAGAGGAAGAAAAUAAGAAUGAAGAUAUAGAAGAGGAGGGAGGAGCUGGAGAUGAUGAGAUAGAUGAAAAUGAGCAAGAGAAAAAAGAAGGUAGAACUGACCAUGAAGAAGACCUUGUAGAUGAUGAGAAAGAAAGGGAAGAUGAGGAGGAUGAUGAGAAGGGUGAAAAGGAUGGUGAGAGGAAUGAGAGUGAAGAGAGAAUGGGUCGAGCAGACAAUGAGAACUCAUCAGCGAAUCAAGAUAACAGAGGUGAUAAGAAUGCUCAUGAGGCACGAGAGGAAAAUUACAGGCGGGAUGAUGCCUCUAGUGCAGUGACCCAUAAUGCCCAAGUUAUAAGUACUGAAACUGAGGAAGUAAGUUCAGAAAGUGCAAAUGAGAACUCUGGAAGUGGUGCUCUGGAGAAGGAGGUAAAAUCUAAUUACACUGAGGAUCUAAAUGGAAAUCAGAACAGCUCAAGAUUAUUGGAUGGUAGGACAGCUGGAAAUGACACUGCAAGUGUGGCUGCUACUGAGGAGAAAGUCAAUGAGAAUUUGCCCAAUGCUGUAAAUGCAACUAUGAAACUACAGUCUGAUGACAUACCAGAAGCAGACAGUAACUCAACAAUUGUGAGCAUAGAAGCGAGCAACAGCUCACCGGAAGUCAACCAGGCAAAUGGAACAGAAGCUUUAUCCGUGUCAGGUCUCUCUCAAAAUGUUACAUUGGAUGGCAUGACUACUAGAGAGGAAAUUACCGGCAAAACCUUGAUUGUGGAACAGACUAAUAACACCAUUUCUGAUAAUAAUCACUCGGAUUCUAAUGCAACAGUUCCCAGUGAUAAGGCUGAGAGUAAUGUGUCCGAAAAGAUCUUAAGAUAUAAUGGCACUGCUCAAGUGGAGGAUGAUUCCAGGUCCUUAACAAUGAAUGAGUCUAUGGAUGCUAUGAAGAAUGAAGAAUUGAAGAAUGAAGAAUUGAAGAAUGAAGAUACCAACAAGAAUGAGGACUUGAAGAAUGAAAAUGCCACGAAGAACAAAGAGUCAAAUGGCACGAGGGAGUCCGACAGGAUUGGUGACAGUUCAGACUCCAGAAAUGGGACGCAAUAUGCAGUUCAGCAUGACCCCAUUGAUUCUUCUGAUUCCCUUGUUUCCGAAGACAAGAAAGGGGCUCACACGGAUUUAGAUACAUCACCAGAGAUGAAAACAGAUGGUCAUGAGAAUGGACAAGCUGCAGCAGAGUGAGUUUUAUGGUCUUUGGUUCUUCUGGUGCUUUCAGUUUUCAUGCUUACCUUUGGUCUUGAUGUGCAAGGUGGUAUGAAAUCCCAAUGCGGUGAGUCAUUUCUGUGCAUAACCAGAUUCCAUCCGUUCACCGUUCUACAUUAUUAUUGUUGUGCUUUCAAACUUGACUGAAGAAAUUUAUUGAUCAAUGAUCCAAGUUGACAGUUUGAUGCCAUAUGAAUUAGAGCUUUUGUUGAUGCCAGUGGUAAAUUGUUUCCAAACUUACCACUAGAAUGUUUGGUCGAGAGAUUUAUGGACUGGUUCUUAAUCAACACAACAUUGUACUAAUAUGUUUCGCUAAUUUGCACUUGUUCAUCUUGGUCUUUCUUGAUAUGAAGUAAAAACUAUACAUCAUGUUGGUGGCAUUCUUAUACUUGGACAUUUU